CGUUCAGCUUCUUCUUCUUUUUUCGGCGGUUACUGCACUGCCCGCUGUGGAGUGUGGGGCAGAAAUGGCUCGAGUUUGGAAGAAACAGCAAAGCUCUCUGUAAAGGAUAAUGACUAACGUAUUGGAGUGUCAAAAUGACCAGACGAAAACCUGGAAAACGAUGGAGAAGGACUGGUAAUGAAGAAGACCCAAAUAAACGACCAAGACGGGCUGCACAAUUGAUGAGUAGCCUGGCAUAGUUGUGUUGCAGUAAAUUUGCAGCAGAUAGGAUAUUUAAUGCCUUAUUUUCCUCCCUGCAGUCAUCCCUCCCUGCAGCCGCCAGUGUUCAUGUGGAGACUGAUCAGCAAUAUUUAGGAGGUAGCAGCAGCGGAACACAGCAGGGGGGGGGUGCCUCCUGGAGGAACCCAAAACGCUGCACUUCAAGGGGAACACGCCCAACAUCCAGGUGUCCAUGCAGGAUGUACCGCACUCACUCUCGGACAUCAAGUCUCUCACCACCUGCCAGCACAAGGUAGCGUGGCACAAGAGAGUAUUUCAACUGUUAACUCUGUCGAAGAAAAUGAAGAACCAUCUUCCAGAUCAGCCUUCAGAGAUCCUCCUGAUGACCUAACAACUGAACUAGAUGGCAAUGCUGAGUAUGAUCCAUCUCAAUUAUUUGAGGAAGCUCU